rnacentral:rRNA from 1 species
AGUGAACGCUGGCGGUAGGCCUAACACAUGCGAGUCGAACGGCAGCACAGUAAGAGCUUGCUCUUACGGGUGGCGAGUGGCGGACGGGUGAGGAAUACAUCGGAAUCUACUUUUUCGUGGGGGAUAACGUAGGGAAACUUACGCUAAUACCGCAUACGACCUACGGGUGAAACCAGGGGAUCUUCGGACCUUGCGCGAUUGAAUGAGCCGAUGUCGGAUUAGCUAGUUGGCGGGGUAAAGGCCCACCAAGGCGACGAUCCGUAGCUGGUCUGAGAGGAUGAUCAGCCACACUGGAACUGAGACACGGUCCAGACUCCUACGGGGGGCAGCAGUGGGGAAUAUUGGACAAUGGGCGCAAGCCUGAUCCAGCCAUACCGCGUGGGUGAAGAAGGCCUUCGGGUUGUAAAGCCCUUUUGUUGGGAAAGAAAAGCAGCAGGUUAAUACCCCGCUGUUCUGACGGUACCCAAAGAAUAAGCACCGGCUAACUUCGUG